CUUUCUUUGCUGGCGACCGGCGCACGGGUGAGUAACACGUAUCCAACCUGCCCUUUACUCGGGGAUAGCCUUUCGAAAGAAAGAUUAAUACCCGAUAGCAUAAUGAUUCCGCAUGGUUUCAUUAUUAAAGGAUUCCGGUAAAGGAUGGGGAUGCGCUCCAUUAGGUUGUUGGUGGGGUAACGGCCCACCAAGCCUUCGAUGGAUAGGGGUUCUGAGAGGAAGGUCCCCCACAUUGGAACUGAGACACGGUCCAA
rnacentral:rRNA from 1 species